CUUGGUCAUUUAGAGGAAGUAAAAGUCGUAACAAGGUCUCCGUUGGUGAACCAGCGGAGGGAUCAUUACAGAGUUUCUAAAACCCCCUGUAAACCCUUGUGAAUCUACCUGUACGUCGUUGCUUCGGCGGGUAGCCCCGUGUAGGGGCCCUCGCCUCCUUUAUUGGAGGUGCCCGCCGGAGGACCACAACCUUAAACUCUUGAAUUUCAAUGGAAUCUCUGAGUAACAUACCAAAAUAAGUUAAAACUUUCAACAACGGAUCUCUUGGUUCUGGCAUCGAUGAAGAACGCAGCGAAAUGCGAUAAGUAAUGUGAAUUGCAGAAUUCAGUGAAUCAUCGAAUCUUUGAACGCACAUUGCGCCCGCCAGUAUUCUGGCGGGCAUGCCUGUUCGAGCGUCAUUUCAACCCUCAAGCUCUCCCGCUUGGUGUUGGGGCACUGCGGUUCGCCGCAGGCUCUGAAAUUCAGUGGCGGGCUCGCUAUAACUCCGAGCGUAGUAAUUCACCUCGUUCUGGAAGAGUGGCGGGCACUGGCCGUAAAACCCCCAUAUUUUACAAGGUUGACCUCGGAUCAGGUAGGAAUACCCGCUGAACUUAAGCAUAUCAAUAAGCGGAGGA
rnacentral:rRNA from 1 species